UCCUGGUCCUGAGAAAAAGAACAAGAUUUCUCACAAAAAACAAGAAUAAAACUUGCAAAGGGUAAACGAGCAAGAAAUCAUCACGUUUUAAAGAAACAUCUUCAAAAUUUUCAACCGAAAUCUUUCCAUGAACUACGUCGUUUGAAGAGGCCUCGUUGAUUUGGCGCAGCAAGUUUGUGAAAUGGGGAUAAUAAUAGAAUAUUUUUUUACGGUUUUUCCAGGAUAGUAUUACGCCAUACAACUGCGUAGCUGUAGUCAGGAGGGUCGGGGUGAUUAUGGGCCUGUGGUUGUAAUAAUUUGAUUUAUUGUCGGAAUUUUUUAUCUACCAAGAAGAACUGUAAGUUACUGUAAAUCUAUAAUCAGUAAUUUAAGACCAGUUAGGAACGAAAUUAUGCAAAUACGGAAUGUGUAUAAAUUGUUAAAUAACAAUUUUCGUUUGAUAUUUGAUCAUUAAUAUAAAACGUGCUAUUAAAAAAUCUUUGUAAGAUUAAUAAUAUCAAAGUAGGCCUGGAAUGACGAAAAGAGUGUUUACUCACUUAUUUCUUGGCAUUCAAUAGUUUUACCAGUAUAUAUAGCGGCCAGCGCGUGCGUAUAAAAAUUUCUCUGGUG